UACGUAGGGUGCGAGCGUUGUCCGGAAUUACUGGGCGUAAAGCGCACGUAGGCGGGUAUUUAAGUCAGGGGUGAAAUCCCAGAGCUCAACUCUGGGACUGCCUUUGAUACUGGGUACCUAGAGUAUGGAAGAGGUGAGUGGAAUUCCGAGUGUAGAGGUGAAAUUCGUAGAUAUUCGGAGGAACACCAGUGGCGAAGGCGGCUCACUGGUCCAUUACUGACGCUGAGGUGCGAAAGCGUGGGGAGCAAACAGG
rnacentral:rRNA from 1 species